rnacentral:rRNA from 1 species
CCUACGGGAGGCAGCAGUGGGGAAUAUUGCACAAUGGAGGAAACUCUGAUGCAGCGACGCCGCGUUGAGUGAAGAAGUAAUUCGUUAUGUAAAGCUCUAUCAGCAGGGAAGAUAGUGACGGUACCUGACUAAGAAGCUCCGGCUAAAUACGUGC